UACGUAGGGGGCUAGCGUUGUCCGGAUUUAUUGGGCGUAAAGAGCGUGUAGGCGGCCAGGUAGGUCUGCUGUGAAAACUCGAGGCUCAACCUCGAGACGUCGGCGGAAACCAUCUGGCUAGAGUCCGGAAGAGGAGAGUGGAAUUCCUGGUGUAGCGGUGAAAUGCGUAGAUAUACGUAAGGAAGACCAGUGGCGAAGGCGGGAUCGUCUGGACAGUUCCGUGACGCUGAGGCACGAAG
rnacentral:rRNA from 1 species